rnacentral:rRNA from 1 species
GACAGAGGUGCCAAGCGUUAGGCGGAAUUAUUGGGCGUAAAGAGCUCGUAGGCGGUCUGUCGCGUCUGCUGUGAAAACUCAGGGCUUAACCCUGAGCUUGCAGUGGGUACGGGCAGACUAGAGUGCGGUAGGGGAGACUGGAAUUCCUGGUGUAGCGGUGAAAUGCGCAGAUAUCAGGAGGAACACCGAUGGCGAAGGCAGGUCUCUGGGCAUUAACUGACGCUGGAGGAGCGAAAGCAUGGGGAGCGAACAGG